UACAGAGGGUGCAAGCGUUAAUCGGAAUUACUGGGCGUAAAGCGCGCGUAGGUGGUUUUGUUAAGUUGGAUGUGAAAUCCCCGGGCUCAACCUGGGAACUGGCAUCCAAAACUGGCAAGCUAGAGUAUGGUAGAGGGUGGUGGAAUUUCCGUGUGUAGCGGUGAAAUGCGUAGAUAUAGGAAGGAACACCAGUGGCGAAGGCGACCACCGUGGACUGAUACUGACACUGAGGUGCGAAAGCGUGGGGAGCAAACAGG
rnacentral:rRNA from 1 species